UGGCAAUGGAAUCCUUGGGAUAGUUGUAGGAGAAAAGGGAACCAAGGCUGUCUCGGCCACCAUGGGGAACAGAGUUUUUCCCCUGAAUUGUGGCGGACAAGAUAACGUGUAGAUUUGGAAAGGAAAGCCUGGAUCGAGAGCACCUGGUGAGCUCCAAUAAUCCAUCCUACUGGAGUAUGG